UACGGGGGGAGCAAGCGUUGUUCGGAUUUACUGGGCGUAAAGGGCGCGUAGGCGGCCAGCACAAGUCAGUUGUGAAAUCUCCGAGCUUAACUCGGAAAGGUCAACUGAUACUGUGCGGCUAGAGUGCGGAAGGGGCAACUAGAAUUCUUGGUGUAGCGGUGAAAUGCGUAGAUAUCAGGAGGAACACCAAUGGCGAAGGCAGCUUGCUACAGGGAUAUUGACACUGAGGCACGAAAGCGUGGGGAUCAAACAGG
rnacentral:rRNA from 1 species